rnacentral:rRNA from 1 species
UGCCUUUGAUACUGGUUAUCUUGAGUUAUUAUGAAGUAGUUAGAAUAUGUAGUGUAGCGGUGAAAUGCAUAGAUAUUACAUAGAAUACCAAUUGCGAAGGCAGAUUACUAAUAAUCAACUGACACUGAUGGACGAAAGCGUGGGUAGCGAACAGGAUUAGAUACCCUGGUAGUCCACGCCGUAAACGAUGGUUACUAGCUGUUUGGACCUUGUGUCUGAGUGGCUAAGCGAAAGUGAUAAGUAACCCACCUGGGGAGUACGUUCGCAAGAAUGAAACUCAAAGGAAUUGACGGGGGCCCGCACAAGCGGUGGAGCAUGUGGUUUAAUUCGAUGAUACGCGAGGAACCUUACCAGGGCUUAAAUGUAAGUUGCAUUAGUUAGAGAUAGCUAUUUCUUCGGACCACUUACAAGGUGCUGCAUGGUUGUCGUCAGCUCGUGCCGUGAGGUGUCAGGUUAAGUCCUAUAACGAGCGCAACCCCUGUUGUUAGUUGCCAGCGAGUCAUGUCGGGAACUCUAACAAGACUGCCAGUGCAAACUGUGAGGAAGGUGGGGAUGACGUCAAAUCAUCACGGCCCUUACGUCCUGGGCUACACACGUGCUACAAUGGUCGGUACAGAGAGCAGCCACUACGCGAGUAGGAGCGAAUCUUAAAAGCCGAUCACAGUUCGGAUCG